rnacentral:rRNA from 1 species
UCCGUAGUCGAAAGGGAAACAGCCCAGACCACCAGCUAAGGUCCCAAAAUAUAUGUUAAGUGGAAAAGGAUGUGGGGUUGCACAGACAACUAGGAUGUUAGCUUAGAAGCAGCUAUUCAUUCAAAGAGUGCGUAAUAGCUCACUAGUCGAGUGACCCUGCGCCGAAAAUGUACCGGGGCUAAAACAUAUUACCGAAGCUGUGGAUGACACAAAAGUGUCAUGGUAGGAGAGCGUUCUAUGUGUGAAGAAGGUGUACCGUGAGGAGCGCUGGAACGCAUAGAAGUGAGAAUGCCGGUAUGAGUAGCGCAAGACAGGUGAGAAUCCUGUCCACCGUAAGACUAAGGUUUCCAGGGGAAGGCUCGUCCGCCCUGGGUUAGUCGGGACCUAAGGAGAGACCGAAAGGUGUAUCCGAUGGACAACAGGUUGAUAUUCCUGUACUAGAGUAUAUAGUGAUGGAGGGACGCAGUAGGCUAACUAAACCAGACGAUUGGAAGUGUCUGGUCAAACAGUGAGGUGUGAUAUGAGUCAAAUGCUUAUAUCUUUAACAUUGAGCUGUGACGAGGAGCGAAGUUUAGUAGCGAAGUUAGUGAUGUCACACUGCCAAGAAAAGCUUCUAGCGAUACAUAUACUCUACCCGUACCGCAAACCGACACAGGUAGUCGAGGCGAGUAGCCUCAGGUGAGCGAGAGAACUCUCGUUAAGGAACUCGGCAAAAUGGCCCCGUAACUUCGGGAGAAGGGGCGCUGAUUUUAGAUCAGCCGCAGUGAAUAGGCCCAAGCAACUGUUUAUCAAAAACACAGCUCUCUGCUAAAUCGUAAGAUGAUGUAUAGGGGGUGACGCCUGCCCGGUGCUGGAAGGUUAAGAGGAGUGCUUAGCGUAAGCGAAGGUAUGAAUUGAAGCCCCAGUAAACGGCGGCCGUAACUAUAACGGUCCUAAGGUAGCGAAAUUCCUUGUCGGGUAAGUUCCGACCCGCACGAAAGGCGUAAUGAUUUGGGCACUGUCUCAACGAGAGACUCGGUGAAAUUUUAGUACCUGUGAAGAUGCAGGUUACCCGCGACAGGACGGAAAGACCCCAUGGAGCUUUAC